GCAGAGUGCAGUGGAGGAGGCUGGAGUGAAAGCCAAGUGUGGCCUGAAGCCAGUGCAAUUCCCCGUUAGAAACGCAGAACCCAUAUUGCUGGUGGGUGGGCUAGGGGCUCACUUCCAUAACAGUGGGCACUGUGCUCACAGCACCCUGCCUCUGGGACCUCCCCCGGGCAGGUGAGCGGGACAUGCAGGGUUGGUGGCCCCCUAGGAGUCUCUGGGAUGCAGUCCCACAGAGUAGGGCCCUGGCUGACAAGACGGUCUGGCCCAAGCCCCUGAUUCUCAGCAGGAACAGGCAUCUGCUGCUGUGAACUCUGGGAGAAGAAAGAAAAGUGGGGUGAAAGGAGGAGAUGUGGGGGUGGGGGGCCAGGGGGAGCAAGGGAAUGAGGGGUACUCAGAGAUAACAAGAGAGGGGCCAAGAAGCCAGAGAGCAGGGCCAGGACCUGGCUCGGCCACUGCCACCCUUUGUUUCCCCACCUGGAAGAGUGGGUUGUGCAGACCCUUUCUGCCUGGCUUGGGUAGUUGUCAGAGCUAGGGGCGGGCCCCGUGCUGCAUGGCGCCCUCUGCAGCUCUCUGUCCCUCUGCCUUCCUUUAAGCCACCUGUCCCUGUCUGCUCUACCCCCUGGGCUGGGUCUCAUUGCAUCUGCUCUACCCCCAAUUUUCCCUUGUACCUGUCUCAAGACCUGGCCCACAGUGCACACAUAAUACCUGUGCAGUGAAUGGUUGAAUGGAUCAACAGGACUGAAAAAUCUUUGGGGAAACCUUUAACAAAAGGCAGGAAGAGGAUUCUUUUCAAACACGGAGAAUUGAACAUUGGCACGUCCUGUCUCCUGUCAAAAUGUCAUUUAAGUAACAGUACAGGAGUUAAAAAGGUAUAAACUCAGAAGCACAAAGAGAGCAGGAAGGACACAUAUUAGACAAGAGAAUAUACCCAAAGGAAUGUAAAUCAUUCUACCAUAAAGACACACGGAUGUAUACGUUCAUUGCAGCACUAUUCACAAUAGCAAAGACAUGAAAUCAACCUAAAUGCCCAUCAACUGCAGACUGGAUAAAGAAAAUGUAGUACAUAUACACCACGGAAUACUACACAGCCGUAAGAAAGAGCAAGAUCUUGUCCUUUGUGGAAACAAUGAAUUUAGAGGCCAUUGUUCUGAGUGAACUAAUGGAGGACCAGAACACCAAACACUGCAUGUUCACAUUUAUAAGUCGGAGCUAAACAUUGACAUUGAGUAGAUACAGACACAAAGAAGAGGCCAGUGGACAAUGGGGCCUGCUUCUUGGGUGGAGAAUGGGAGGAGGGUGAGAAUUGAAAAACCACCUAUUGAGUACUAUGCUUAUUACUUGGGUGAUGAAAUAACCUGCACAGCAACCCCCCACGACACACUAUUUACCCAUAUAACCAACCCACGCAUGUACCCCUGAACCUACAAUAUAAGUUAAAAAAAGUUCAGAAAAUGUUGAAAACCUGAAAGUGGAAGAUAAAUAGUAAACGACUUUGCAAACCUGAGAAAGCUGAAAGCUAAUAAUCUAUGAAUUGAUACAAAAUCCAGAAAGACUCAAGAAUUGAACAUGCCAGGUCCCAGAGGAGAGGGAUUGGGGCGGGCCUGGAAACUGGAGAAGUGGACAAUAGCUUUCAAGGAAAAUCCACUCAGAUUCAAGCCCUGAAAAUGAACCUGGCCUGACUGGCUCCGUAGCCUGUGUUUGUGCCUCUCCUACCCACAGGGACAGGCUGGGAUUUCUGAGCCCUGUGCAGGCUCAGGAGGAAAGGCAGAUUCUGGGGAAGAAGCCCCCAGCAACAGGAGCAAUCCCAGCUGCAGAGCCAGGCUCCUGUCGUCAGGCCUGGCCCAUGUCCUGCCAGUCAGCGCAUGGCUGGAGGACCGCACAACUAGCUGUGACGGUGGCUGCCUUCUUUCCAUUUCUACUCCAGCAAGCUGGCCCCAGGAACAGCUGCGUGGGAGGUAAAUGGAAACUUUGAGGAGAAAGCCCAGUGGUCACCCAGGGCUGGCGAUGCUCCUGCCUUUAAGGUGUCCUGGGCACCCGAGCAGCUGUGGGCUACGGCUUAUACUUUCCCUAACUGCGGGUGGCUUUAUUGGAAUGUGAGACACAGGCCAUUAACCUUUUACCCCAGUCAUGCAGCUAAUCACCAGAGCAUUUCACCACCUCAGCCGUGGCUGCAAAACACUAAGCUGAUUAUGGGAAAGUGCAGAACACGAAUGCUCUUGUGGAAUUUUCAGUAGAGAUAAGCAUUUGCUGAGAUUGAAUGUGAUGUGAACUCAGCGCCCUCUCCAUCUUACUGUGACCUGAAGCCCAAUGAGCCGGUCCCUGGGUGGACCCUGUCCCUGGGUGGACCCUGCCCCUCAGUGGCCCCUUCCAGGAAGGCCUUUGGUCUUCAUGCACUCAGUCAGCUGUGGCUGGUACCUGUCCUCCUCAGGCAUCAUCUCAGCACACAAACCUGCUGUCAGUGACUCCAAGGCCCAGGAGGAGCUCCAAAAACCACACACUGGAGAAGAUCUGUCAUGGCCAAGUCCCACAGGGACUCCGGGCUGACAACCAGACCUGGCCCUGGGUUCUGACAGGGGCUUUUGGCAUGCCCCAUGGGACCCCCACAGAAGACCGUAGGACCUGACAGCAACUCCACAUUUCCAGAAGGAAGAAAACAGGAUCUUGGGUGUUGGUGGUGGGUCCCAGGAAUCUCCUCUCAGUGAAGCCAUUUCGUUCUUCCAGGGGCUGAGAUCCAAACCCAGAGCCUUUUGGCCUUCCUCUUCCCUCACUCCCCAUCAGCAUACACAGCCAGGACUGGGCCUCUGCUCCCUCUGGCCUUCCCCACUCACCCCUGGGCCAACCGUCCGCUUCUCGCCUGGAUGACUUUGGGCCCUCCUUUUUUAGCCUUUUCCUGCUUGUUUUCCCCAUUGCACUUGUUCGUAGCUGGCCUGGCUUGUAUUUCCCGGUUCAUUUGCAUUUUGAGUCCACCCCACUGCAAGGUGAACAUGUGAACAGCAUUUUGUUUGCUUUGUCAACAGCUAUAUCCUCAGUGCCUACAGUGUCCCCAGCAGGGAGCUCUGCUGAGCAUGUUGAUGCAGCGACACAGCCAGAGCUCCAGGCAGAGACCCCAUGGGUGGUGGUGUGCACUCGGCGGCACCUGUGAGGUCACCUAUGAUGGCAGCCAUGCAGUCCAGACCGUGGGAGCUCCACGGCCCAGCCCCGCACACAGCCAGUAAUGGCAGCCCUAGCUCCUUACCACCCACCAUGCACCUUUUAGAUUCAAGCAUGGGCUCAGGUUCCUUGGCCUCAAUGUUCUCAUCUAUUAAAUGGGAUGAUG
rnacentral:lncRNA from 10 species